rnacentral:rRNA from 1 species
GACGAACGCUGGCGGCGUGCUUAACACAUGCAAGUCGAACGGAAAGGCCCUGCUUUUGUGGGGUGCUCGAGUGGCGAACGGGUGAGUAACACGUGAGUAACCUGCCCUUGACUUUGGGAUAACUUCAGGAAACUGGGGCUAAUACCGGAUAGGAGCUCCUGCUGCAUGGUGGGGGUUGGAAAGUUUCGGCGGUUGGGGAUGGACUCGCGGCUUUUCAGCUUGUUGGUGGGGUAGUGGCCUACCAAGGCUUUGACGGGUAGCCGGCCUGAGAGGGUGACCGGCCACAUUGGGACUGAGAUACGGCCCAGACUCCUACGGGAGGCAGCAGUGGGGAAUAUUGCACAAUGGGCGGAAGCCUGAUGCAGCAACGCCGCGUGCGGGAUGACGGCCUUCGGGUUGUAAACCGCUUUCGCCUGUGACGAAGCGUGAGUGACGGUAAUGGGUAAAGAAGCACCGGCUAACUACGUG